AAUGAACGCUGGCGGCGUGCUUAACACAUGCAAGUCGAACGAGAACGCCUCAGCUUGCUGAGGCAAGUAAAGUGGCGCACGGGUGAGUAACGCGUGGGUAAUCUACCUCCGAAUUGGGGAUAACAUUGCGAAAGCGGUGCUAAUACCGAAUAAUAUCCUCAAGACUCAGGUUUUGAGGACCAAAGGUGGCCUCUACAUGUAAGCUACUGUUUGGAGAUGAGCCCGCGUACCAUUAGCUUGUUGGUGGGGUAACGGCCUACCAAGGCUGCGAUGGUUAGCUGGUCUGAGAGGAUGAUCAGCCACACUGGAACUGACACACGGUCCAGACUCCUACGGGAGGCAGCAGUGAGGAAUUUUGCGCAAUGGGGGAAACCCUGACGCAGCAACGCCGCGUGAGUGAUGAAGGCCU
rnacentral:rRNA from 1 species